rnacentral:tRNA from 1 species
UGCUCAGUAGUUCAGCGGUAGAAUCGCGCACUGUUAAUGCGUUGGUCACUGGUUCGAAUCCAGUCUGAGCAGCUA